CUUCUGCAUAUCUUUACAAACAGCAAAGAACUCCAAGGUUGUUAAACCAAUUUUAAUGUCAUUUUAAGACUUUAUGGUAGCAUAAAAACAGGCUGCAGAUUUUCCAGAAGUUGAAUUGUUAGUUGCAUGCAAAUUCCAUAAUGACAUAACAUCCACCUAUUGGUACACUUACCUCUUGCUCUAUUUGACCAGUAUUGGAAUGCCUCCAAGGGCAAUGGUAAAUGGCAUUACUCUGAAUCCAACAAGUAGAGUGGCAUGUGUCAGCUGCCGCAAUGCCUUUGCAAUGGUUUUUAUACUCCGUUACAUUAUUCCAUGAUUUAACUUGUCUUACCUGUAAAUAUGCUCUAAUACUGGACAAACAAACAGUUUUACUCUUGUCUAUUUUCUUGAACCAAUAAUUAGGGAAGGUUGCUAGCCUAAUCGUAUAUUCGAUUGGCUUUUUGAUCAUAUCUUCAACAAUGAUACAUCAGGAAUUGAAAUCAAGAAGCAGGGUGAAGCAAGUAGCUCAGGAGACUGUUCGCCAUAGUAGUUCUUGGACCCGAUGAUUGAAAAAUGGCCUGUAUUAUAGAUAGCUGGCAUUUAUGUGUUAACUAGAGUUAUAACGAAUAUAUCAUAGGUGUUUCUUGCUCUCUAUGUAAUCAAUGAUCUACACAUGAGCCAAUCUUCCAAGGCUUUGGUUCCCGACAUCAUCUAUUUGUGCAGCUUCAUUGCAUCAGUCAUGCUCCAGUUGCAUGUAGGAGCUCAAAUGGAGCAGUCACAAGUUGAAGGAAUUCUUUUCAGUAGGAGGCCUCCUUUGCCUAUUUUGUGGUGCUGUAGUACUCUCCCUACCGAUGAACGAAUUGCCAAUGCCUUCAUGAUGGUAACUUCAGUAGGCAUGGAAAGUGAGCUAGUUGAUAAACAAGUUGAGGGAUCUGCUUUUGUUGAUGGAUCAUUACACGUUUAUUGUGUGGUGUAAUGCUGUACAUCUAGAGUCAUACUAGAGUGUAACACCAGCAUCAUGUAAUCAAUCCAGCAUAUCGUUGUUUCACAGUUACACGAUUUUCAUUGGGAUUCAUUCUGGGAGUUGCUGCAUUAGUUGGCGUCAUAGUUACAUGUUUUACAAACUUCAGACCUUCACAUCCAAUGCCCGUGGCAGAACCCUUGUUGGCAUAGCUUUCAGAAGGAUUGAAUUGAUGUACUUUUGAAGUUACAUAUUUGAGAUUAAGGCAUGGUUGAUUGGUUGAAGUUGCACAUUAUAAAUUUUAAGUCUAGUAAUAAGCUAGAAGCUCUAUUGCUCUGUA